rnacentral:tRNA from 1 species
UCCCCGAUAGGUCUAGUGGUGAGGAUAUCUGCUUGUCAUUGAAACUUCAACGAUUCGCAGGGGACCGGGGUUCAAUUCCCCGUCGAGGAG